rnacentral:rRNA from 1 species
UACGUAGGGGGCAAGCGUUGUCCGGAAUCAUUGGGCGUAAAGCGCGCGUAGGCGGCUCGAUCAGUCUGCUGUAAAAGUCAAAGGCUCAACCUUUGAAUGCCGGUGGAUACUGUCGGGCUAGAGUCCGGAAGAGGCGAGUGGAAUUCCUGGUGUAGCGGUGGAAUGCGCAGAUAUCAGGAGGAACACCAACGGCGAAGGCAGCUCGCUGGGACGGUACUGACGCUAAGGCGCGAAAGCGUGGGGAGCAAACAGG